CUUUUUUCGGUCUGGGCUUGC
rnacentral:miRNA from 1 species